rnacentral:rRNA from 1 species
CCGCCGGCGACCGGCGCACGGGUGAGUAACACGUAUGCAACCUGCCCCUGUCAGGGGGACAACCCGCCGAAAGGCGGGCUAAACCCGCGUACAUGCCACCGGGGCAUCCCGGAGGCAGGAAAGGCUUCGGCCGGACAGGGAUGGGCAUGCGGCGCAUUAGGCAGUAGGCGGGGUAACGGCCCACCUAACCGACGAUGCGCAGGGGUUCUGAGAGGAAGGUCCCCCACACUGGUACUGAGACACGGACCAGACUCCUACGGGAGGCAGCAG